rnacentral:rRNA from 1 species
UACAGAGGGUGCAAGCGUUGUUCGGAAUUAUUGGGCGUAAAGGGCGCGUAGGCGGUGCUGUAAGUCUGUGGUGAAAUCUCUGGGCUCAACUCAGAGUCUGCCAUAGAAACUGCAGUGCUGGAGUGUGGGAGAGGUGAGUGGAAUUCCUGGUGUAGCAGUGAAAUGCGUAGAUAUCAGGAGGAACACCGAUGGCGAAGGCAGGUCUCUGGGCUGACACUGACGCUCAUGCACGAAAGCGUGGGGAGCAAACAGG